UACGGGGGGAGCAAGCGUUGUUCGGAUUUACUGGGCGUAAAGGGCGCGUAGGCGGUCAGCACAAGUCAGUUGUGAAAUCUCCGGGCUUAACUCGGAAAGGUCAACUGAUACUGUGCGACUAGAGUGCAGAAGGGGCAACUGGAAUUCUCGGUGUAGCGGUGAAAUGCGUAGAUAUCGAGAGGAACACCUGCGGCGAAGGCGGGUCUCUGGACAGUUCCUGACGCUGAGGCACGAAAGCGUGGGGAGCGAACAGG
rnacentral:rRNA from 1 species